rnacentral:lncRNA from 1 species
UGAGAGGAUGGCUGGCGUCAAUGGAGGAAAGCUCACAACAGAGAGGCGACACGACGGAGACGGCGCGGAGAGGAUGCUUUCGUUUUCUGAAACUGAUCGCGUGAGGAGGAAAACUGUUCAAAGUUUUUUUUUAACCAUCAGAAGAGCAUCUGCCGCGGUUCUACACUUAACCGCGGCAUAAAGGGGGAAUAGGCCGCGGUUCUACACUAAACCGCGGCCUAUUCAUUUUAAAAAAAUAAUACAAAAUGGCAUUUUUGAAAUUCUUUUUACCUUAUAUGCCGCGGUUCAGCACCCAACCGCGGCAUAUACUCUGAAAAUUUUAAAAUUUACUCAGACUAGGGAAUAGGCCGUGGUUGGCCAGAGAACUGC